rnacentral:rRNA from 1 species
UACGUAGGGGGCGAGCGUUGUCCGGAUUUAUUGGGCGUAAAGAGCUCGUAGGCGGUUUGGCAAGUCGGGUGUGAAAACUCCGGGCUCAACUCGGAGACGCCACUCGAUACUGCCAUGACUCGAGUCCGGUAGGGGAGUGCGGAAUUCCUGGUGUAGCGGUGAAAUGCGUAGAUAUCAGGAGGAACACCUGCGGUGUAGACGGCUUACUGGACCAUAACUGACGCUGAGGCACGAAAGCGUGGGUAGCAAACAGG